UUAAAGAUCUAUAUAAGUACAACAAAUUGAAUCAAAUAAACAAAACAUAGUACUUUUAAAAUAUAAAGUGAUCAAUACAUUUCUAUCUGUUGUAAGCUUAAUUAGGAAGAAAAAUAUGGCUGAAAUUAUAAAGUUUAUUUAUUUAAUGAUCUUCUUUAUUUCCUUAUCUUAUGUAGUGGUUGAAGUUGCUGGAUCACAGGAAAUGGAUUUAAUUUGCCAAUUUAGCAGUGAUUGUGAAAAAUUUAAGUGCCAUGGUCUUACGGUUCCAACAUGCAUUACUCGUCAUUGUAGAUGUCGUUAUGUAAUGAAGCCCAUAGGAUAUGAAUGAAAGUAAUUCUAUUAGUAGUGAAAUGAAAUUGAUGGUAAAACAAACAAUAUGUUGAAGGACUUUGUGUAAUGAG